rnacentral:tRNA from 1 species
AUUUAUAUAGUUUAAAUAAAACAUUACAUUUUCACUGUAAAAACAAUAUUAACUUAUAUUUAUAAAUA